rnacentral:rRNA from 1 species
CAAUAGCGUAUAUUAAAGUUGUUGCAGUUAAAAAGCUCGUAGUUGGAUUUCUGUGAGAGUGCCGGUGUCGGCUGAUGCUUGUACGCAGGCGCUCUUACAUCCUUCUGUUAACUGUUCUUGGCAUUUUAUUGCUGGUUAAGGGCUCAGAUAUUUUACCUUGAGAAAAUUAGAGUGUUUCAGGCAGGCUUAUGCCGGAAUACAUUAGCAUGGAAUAAUGGAACAGGACCUGUGCGUCUCUCGGGGCGCCGGUCUCCGUUGUUGGUUUCGGGGACUAAUGUAAUGAUUAAUAGGGAUAGUUGGGGGCAUUAGUAUUUAAUAGUCAGAGGUGAAAUUCUCGGAUUUGUUAAAGACUAACUUAUGCGAAAGCAUUUGCCAAGGAUGUUUUCAUUAA